GACGAACCGUGCGAACGUUGUUCGGAAUCACUGGGCUUAAAGGGCGCGUAGGCGGGCCGGACGGUCCGCGGUGAAAUCCCCCCGCUCAACGGGGGAACGGCCGCGGAUACCGCCGGCCUCGAGGGGGGUAGGGGCGAGCGGAACGCUGGGUGGAGCGGUGAAAUGCGUUGAUAUUCACAGGAACUCCGGUGGCGAAGGCGGCUCGCUGGAUCUCUUCUGACGCUGAGGCGCGAAAGCUAGGGGAGCAAACGGG
rnacentral:rRNA from 1 species